rnacentral:rRNA from 1 species
AUUGAACGCUGGCGGCAGGCCUAACACAUGCAAGUCGAACGAGUGGCGGACGGGUGAGUAAUGUCUGGGAAACUGCCUGAUGGAGGGGGAUAACUACUGGAAACGGUAGCUAAUACCGCAUACCAUCGGAUGUGCCCAGAUGGGAUUAGCUAGUAGGUGGGGUAACGGCUCACCUAGGCGACGAUCCCUAGCUGGUCUGAGAGGAUGACCAGCCACACUGGGACUGAGACACGGCCCAGACUCCUACGGGAGGCAGCAGUGGGGAAUAUUGCGCAAUGGGCGAGAGCCUGAACCAGCCAAGUCGCGUGAAGGAUGACUGUCUUUGGAUUGUAAACUUCUUUUGUAGGGGAAUAUGUACCCUACGAAUAAGCAUCGGCUAACUCCGUGCCAGCAGCCGCGGUAAUAC